GAUGAACGCUGGCGGCGUGCCUAAUACAUGCAAGUCGAGCGAACGGACGAGAAGCUUGCUUCUCUGAUGUUAGCGGCGGACGGGUGAGUAACACGUGGAUAACCUACCUAUAAGACUGGGAUAACUUCGGGAAACCGGAGCUAAUACCGGAUGAUAUUUUGAACCACAUGGUUCAAAAGUGAAAGACGGUCUUGCUGUCACUUAUAGAUGGAUCCUCGCUGCAUUAGCUAGUUGGUAAGGUAACGGCUUACCAAGGCAACGAUGCAUAGCCGACCUGAGAGGGUGAUCGGCCACACUGGAACUGAGACACGGUCCAGACUCCUACGGGAGGCAGCAGUAGGGAAUCUUCCGCAAUGGGCGAAAGCCUGACGGAGCAACGCCGCGUGAGUGAUGAAGGUCUUCGGAUCGUAAAACUCUGUUAUUAGGGAAGAACAUAUGUGUAAGUAACUGUGCACAUCUUGACGGUACCUAAUCAGAAAGCCACGGCUAACUACGUG
rnacentral:rRNA from 1 species